rnacentral:rRNA from 1 species
CGUGUAGGCGGCAGAUCAAGUCGGGUGUGAAAUCCCUCGGCUCAACCGAGGAACUGCAUUCGAUACUGGUCAGCUAGAGUGCGAGAGGGGUGAGUGGAACUCCAGGUGUAGCGGUGAAAUGCGUAGAUAUCUGGAGGAACGCCGGUGGCGAAAGCGACUCACUGGCUCGCAACUGACGCUAAGGCGCGAAAGCUAGGGUAGCGAACAGGAUUAGAUACCCUGGUAGUCC